CUGGGAGAGUGGCACCCCUGGAGAGGGUGUGGAAGCUCCGUUGCCUCCACCAUCUUUUCCGCCUGCUGUUCCUGAGUUGUAUCCUUUUAUUAUAAAUCUGCAACCUAGUAGUAAACUGUUUUCCUGAGCUCCGUGAACCGCUCUAGCAAAUCACCAAAUCUGAACAGGGGCUCAGGGGAACCUCUGAUUUAUAACUAGUGGUUCAGAACCACAGGUGGCAACCUGGACUUGUGACUGGCGUCUGAAGGCAGUGGGUAUAGUGUUGUGGGACUGCCUGAGCCCUUAACCUGUGGAAUCUGAUGCUAACCUCAGAAUUCCAUGGAGUCUAAUUUCUGCUGGGAUAUUUCCUCCAGGCUGACAUUGGUUUCAGAAGGACGUAUAGUUGAACCAGUUCUUGAUAAGCCUGAAUCUUUAUGUGCUGCAUGUCUGUAAGCUGCCCUCUCAA
rnacentral:lncRNA from 1 species